UGCGGGAUGGAGCAGUCUGGUAGCUCGUCGGGCUCAUAACCCGAAGGUCGUUGGUUCAAAUCCAGCUCCCGNGA
rnacentral:tRNA from 1 species